GAUGAACGCUGGCGGCAUGCCUAAUACAUGCAAGUCGAACGAGAGGAAGGAAAGCUUGCUUUUCUGAAUCUAGUGGCGAACGGGUGAGUAACACGUAGGUAACCUGCCCAUGUGCCCGGGAUAACUUCUGGAAACGGAUGCUAAAACCGGAUAGAUAGCAGACAAGCAUUUGACUGCUAUUAAAGUGGCUAAGGCCAUGAACAUGGAUGGACCUGCGGUGCAUUAGCUAGUUGGUGAGGUAACGGCCCACCAAGGCGACGAUGCAUAGCCGGCCUGAGAGGGCGGACGGCCACAUUGGGACUGAGACACGGCCCAAACUCCUACGGGAGGCAGCAGUAGGGAAUUUUCGUCAAUGGGGGGAACCCUGAACGAGCAAUGCCGCGUGAGUGAGGAAGGUCUUCGGAUCGUAAAGCUCUGUUGUAAGAGAAAAACGACAUUCAUAGGGAAUGAUGAGUGAGUGAUGGUAUCCUACCAGAAAGUCACGGCUAACUACGUGCCAGCCGCCGCGGUAA
rnacentral:rRNA from 1 species